rnacentral:lncRNA from 1 species
UAUGUGUCAAACAUUUCAGCUUGAUGGGAAGGACUUUUUCAGGUUCCUCCAGUUACGAGAUUAUUACCUUAAAAAGGUAAAAAGCCCUGGCCCUAUAGAAACACCUAUUCUCAUCCAAAUUUUCAUUGAUGCAUACAACUCUAAGAUUAGUAAAGGUCUGAUAAGUAAACUAUACCAUGCCAUUACAGCACUGAACAAGGACAAUACGGACUACAUCAAAGAAAGAUGGGAACAAGAACUGGACUGUAAAAUACCAGAGGACAUCUGGCAGUGCGCUUGGGAAGUACAAUCAUCAUCAACCAAUUCUUGGACUUGGAGGGACUUCUGUUGGAAAAAUCUCGUUCGCUUCUUCAUAACCCCCAAACAGAAAUCAAAACAGACUGGUACCUGCCUCUCCUGUUGGAGAGAAUGUGGAACGGAGAUGGCGGACCAUGCUCACAUUUUUUGGUCUUGCCCCCAUAUCAAACCUUUCUGGAGGGAGGUAGCAAAAAUUAUUUCAAACACUCUUGGUUUCACUGUUCCUCUUACUUUCAUUUCUCUUUACCUCGGGCAUCUACCUGAUGGACUCAGUAAAAGUGACACCUAUCUCCUAAAAAUUUUAUUAGCAUCAAGUAAAAAAGCCAUAACAAAAUGUUGGCUUCAGAAGAAAUGUCCCACAGCAGCUAUUUUUAUUAAUAUUGUGAAACAAUUACAUCUCCUGGAACAAAUGACCUUUUCUAUAAGACUUCAAAAAGAAUUGGGAGAAAAAAGAUGGGAGAAAUGGUGUGUUUAUUUAGCCAAGAAUAAAUAAAAAUAUAUUGUUUAGACUAUUUGAACAGGCAAGCACAUUGGUAAUCUCACUUUAAACAUUUAUUUACUUGUAUAGACCGACCUCUCUUUCUGUUGUUCUUUUGUUUGUACAUAUAUGUGUGUGUAUGUAUGUAUAUGUAUCAUUUUGUUCAAAAAAGAAAAAAGGUACAAAAUAAAAAGUAAAAAAAAAAAAAAAAAAAAAAAAAAAAAAAACAUGUGAACAGUUGUUUACUUCU